AACGACCAGGGUCUCCUGACCAUCUCCAUAUAGCACGUCCUCAUCUUCACCCUCAUCAUACACGGGUUCCCCAACUUCCUCGAACUCCUCUAUCAUAUCCUCCUCAAUCAGAAGAUUUUUAUUCUUCUGACCAGCAGGCUUCCUGCAAUCAGUCGCCCUAUGCCCCUGUUCACCACACCUAAAGCACUUAAUACUUGAGCUGGAACUAUCCCGCUGUGGUUGAUAAGCAGGACGAGAUUCUUGAGGGCGAAUUGGCUGACUUCCUUCACCUCUGACCACUGGCCUCCUACUCUGCUUUUUCUCCACUGCAAGUGCCUGUUUCUCUACUACAAGUGCUCGCUGAUAUGCCUCGAAAACUGUCCACAAUGAAUGAAGGCUGAGAACAUCCUGCAGGGGCUGCCUUAAUCCCCCCAAAUAUCGUGCUACCAUCUGCUCCUCUGUCUCAGAUAAAUCAUUCCGAGCCACCAACUGAUAGAAUUCUUCAGUAUAAUCAUUGACUGAUCUUGCGCCUUGCCUUAGUGAACGAAGCCUCUGAAACAAGGUUUGAGCAUAGCCAAAAGGGAGGAAGUGCCCUUUCAUCUUCUCCCAGUUAGUAAUUUUAGAUUUUCCCUGUCGCUCCCGUGAAUGCUUCAACUGUUCCCACCAUGCAGAUGCCCAACCUUUGAGUUUGAUGGUGACCAGUUUCACAUUGACACGAUCUGGAACCUCCUUAUAUUCAACAAUCCGCUCCACUUCAUUCAGCCAAUCAAUAAAUCCUUCAGUCGACAACGUACCAGAAAACUCGGGCAGAUCCACUCUGAAACCGAGAUCCACAUGACGAUCCUCCCAUCGACGAUGCUCCCAAACUCGAGCACGAUGGUGAUACGGGUUUUCGAAACUGGUAUCGGAAUCGUGACCUUCCACAUCAUGAUUACUGAACUCCUGCUCCGCCAAACGUUGGGUUAACUCAGUAACUUGUCUCUGCAAAUCUUCAAUCGUCACAUCCUGAAUAUUACGAUCACGAUGCGGGACUUCCUCAAUCGGAACCUGUCCUCGACGACCACGACCACGUCCACCAACCAUUAUAAUUGAUGAAAUUUAUCUCCCAAGAAGAUGCUGACGCUCUGAUACCAACUGACGCCGGGUAGGAUAGUGAUUAUCCUAUUAGCUUGUUGUAGCAGAUGAUUAGCAAGAAAAGAACGACAGAAAAUGCCCAAAAACCAGAGAAAAUACUCUGAAUUCAACUCAAUAUUAUUAAUAAUGCAGAAUGAUCAAAAUUAUCCCACAAGCCGGGUUAAAUAGCUGCGAAAUACGAAAUUAUGGAAAAAUUACCAAAAAUGGCAAAAUCCUGAAAUUAUACCAAAAUAAAAUAUUAAGUAAAAGAAGUAAGCUGCCAAAAAUUUGGCUCAAUUCGAGUUUUCUAACAUAUGGAAAAAAGGAAACCAAAUAUUAUCGUAAAUAGUAAAAAAUAACUUAAAAUUGAAUUUUGGAAAAGAAAACAGUGGAUUUUGGGCUCGAAAUUGACGUCCAUCGAACAUAGCUGGGUGGCCACGACGUGCGCACCGAAGAGAGCUUUUCGGAUUGGGGUCAUAAUAGCGAUUCCGAUAACCGUAGCCAAAGUUAGGACCAAAUUACCAAAGACGCGUCAAAUUCCCCUAAUUAANCGAAUGUAGCCCCUUUCCAAUAAUUCUACCACUUGUCGCUGCAACUCUUCAGCUUCCUUGGGACUGAGGCGAUAUGCUGGUCGAUUUGGUAGACUCGACUCCGGAAUGAAGUCGAUCUGAUGUUGAAUGUCCCUCAUAGGUGGUAGUCCUGGAGGAAGAUCCUCCAGCAUCAAGUCAGAAAACUCCAUCAGUAGUUGCUGCACUUCUGCAGGAAAUUCUGAAUCUACAUUCGCUUUACUAUUUUCACGAGGCAUUAAAGCAUAAACUAUUUUUUCACGCCCAACCUCAACUAAGAACCUGGACAUAGAAAGUAGAUUGGGGUUAUUAACUACCGGGGCAGGGAUGUUUCCUUCCCUGCGAGGCACCAAAACAAUUCUCUUUCCUUUGAUGCUAAGAGAAUAAGUAUUCUUCCGCCCAUCAUGGAUAACACUGCGAUCAUACUGCCAAGGUCGUCCCAACAAAACAUGACACGCGUCCAUUGAUACCACAUCACACCAAGCAUUAUCAAAAUAUUUUUUUCCAAUCGAGAAAGACACUAAGCAUUGUUUUUCUACCGUUACCUAACUGCCUUUAUUCAGCCAAGACAACUUGUAUGGUUUGGGAUGACGAUCCAUCUUCAGUUGCAGUUUCUCGAUAGCCUCCUCAGACACUACAUUCUCACAACUGCCACUAUCAAUUAUCAACUUACAGACUUUAUCAGUAACUGUGCAGGUUGUGUGGAAAACGUUGGUCCUCAACCAAUCAUCCCUUGAGUAGCCCUUGGGAGUCAGCAGGCUCUUUCGAACGACCAGGGUCUCCUGACCAUCUCCAUAUAGCACGUCCUCAUCUUCACCCUCAUCAUACACGGGUUCCCCAACUUCCUCGAACUCCUCUAUCAUAUCCUCCUCAAUCAGAAGAUUUUUAUUCUUCUGACCAGCAGGCUUCCUGCAAUCAGUCGCCCUAUGCCCCUGUUCACCACACCUAAAGCACUUAAUACUUGAGCUGGAACUAUCCCGCUGUGGCUGAUAAGCAGGACGAGAUUCUUGAGGGC
rnacentral:lncRNA from 1 species